rnacentral:rRNA from 1 species
GUGGGGAAUAUUGCACAAUGGGCGAAAGCCUGAUGCAGCAACGCCGCGUGAGGGACGACGGCCUUCGGGUUGUAAACCUCUUUUAGUAGGGAAGAAGCGAAAGUGACGGUACCUGCAGAAAAAGCACCGGCUAACUACGUGCCAGCAGCCGCGGUAAUACGUAGGGUGCAAGCGUUAUCCGGAAUUAUUGGGCGUAAAGAGCUCGUAUGCGGUCUGUCGCGUCUGCUGUGAAAACUGGAGGCUCAACCUCCAGACUGCAGUGGAUACGGGCAGACUAGAUUGCGAUAGGGGAGAUUGGAAUUCCUGGUGUAGCGGUGGAAUGCGCAGAUAUCAGGAGGAACACCGAUGGCGAAGGCAGAUCUCUGGGCCGUAACUGACGCUGAGGAGCGAAAGCGUGGGGAGCGAACAGGAUUAGAUACCCCAGUAGUCC